rnacentral:rRNA from 1 species
AUGGGUAAUUUAUAGUAAUAAAAUUUACCUCUAACCAUUCCGAACAGAGAAGUCAAAUUUAUUAUCGCUGAUGGUACUAAUUAAUUUAAUUGGGAGAGUAAGUAUUACCCAUU